rnacentral:rRNA from 3 species
AGAGUUUGAUCCUGGCUCAGGACGAACGCUGGCGGCGUGCCUAAUACAUGCAAGUCGAACGCUUCUUUUUCCACCGGAGCUUGCUCCACCGGAAAAAGAGGAGUGGCGAACGGGUGAGUAACACGUGGGUAACCUGCCCAUCAGAAGGGGAUAACACUUGGAAACAGGUGCUAAUACCGUAUAACAAUCAAAACCGCAUGGUUUUGAUUUGAAAGGCGCUUUCGGGUGUCGCUGAUGGAUGGACCCGCGGUGCAUUAGCUAGUUGGUGAGGUAACGGCUCACCAAGGCCACGAUGCAUAGCCGACCUGAGAGGGUGAUCGGCCACAUUGGGACUGAGACACGGCCCAAACUCCUACGGGAGGCAGCAGUAGGGAAUCUUCGGCAAUGGACGAAAGUCUGACCGAGCAACGCCGCGUGAGUGAAGAAGGUUUUCGGAUCGUAAAACUCUGUUGUUAGAGAAGAACAAGGAUGAGAGUAACUGUUCAUCCCUUGACGGUAUCUAACCAGAAAGCCACGGCUAACUACGUGCCAGCAGCCGCGGUAAUACGUAGGUGGCAAGCGUUGUCCGGAUUUAUUGGGCGUAAAGCGAGCGCAGGCGGUUUCUUAAGUCUGAUGUGAAAGCCCCCGGCUCAACCGGGGAGGGUCAUUGGAAACUGGGAGACUUGAGUGCAGAAGAGGAGAGUGGAAUUCCAUGUGUAGCGGUGAAAUGCGUAGAUAUAUGGAGGAACACCAGUGGCGAAGGCGGCUCUCUGGUCUGUAACUGACGCUGAGGCUCGAAAGCGUGGGGAGCAAACAGGAUUAGAUACCCUGGUAGUCCACGCCGUAAACGAUGAGUGCUAAGUGUUGGAGGGUUUCCGCCCUUCAGUGCUGCAGCUAACGCAUUAAGCACUCCGCCUGGGGAGUACGACCGCAAGGUUGAAACUCAAAGGAAUUGACGGGGGCCCGCACAAGCGGUGGAGCAUGUGGUUUAAUUCGAAGCAACGCGAAGAACCUUACCAGGUCUUGACAUCCUUU